rnacentral:lncRNA from 1 species
GCGACAAGGAAGCAGGUGAAAUUUAACUCGAAUAGAGGGAAUCGUCAAGUUUCAACUAAACCAACAUUAUCGGUAAUGCAAACAUUCCAAUUAUAGCAAUGAAGCUACACGGCAAAGAUUGAUCGAAGCCGACAUAGGUCGCCUACGUAUCCCGUUCUUGGAAAUUCAGGUCAAACGUAGUUCAUAGAUAAACUCAUAAUGGCCCUAAAAAUACUCUUAUCCACCUUACUAGGGUAUAAAUAAGUACUUCUAUGGAUGAUAUGACAUUUGCAUUGCGUUUGUCUUGAUAGAACAAAGUAUCAAAUGUCCAAUGGAGUCAUCGCCUUCCUAGUUAACCACCCCGGUUUCCUCUAGAUUAGGCUUCUUUGAUUCUCGAACUCUUUAACUCUUCUGUUGACUGUUCUAGGCUAUCAUUAUUUUGCUUCUUGACAUGACAUGAUAAAGGCAAGUUUUAAGUUACUGUUAUACGACGGGUGAUGAGUCAUGAGUGGAGUGGAGGUCCAAUUCAACAAUGUUUCCUCCAAUUAAUCUUCCAUGAUCCCGAUUGUCUUGGAAAAUUCUUCCCUUAUAUUUUUCUUGUUCCAUCCUCGAGACCAUCACUUACAGGGUUGAAAAAUGAUUGGUAGAGUCUAGUUUUACUACUAGUCAUUUUUCUUUUCCUGUAACGAAGCGAUAGUCAAGAAGGGGAUCUCUUAUUCAUUUUGAUCUGGUGAAGUAGGGUUAUUUUGUACCAACACAGAGUAGUUUCUAUUACCUGCAAAGUAAAAAUAACUCAAAUGAUGACGUGUUAGAUUCCGUUAGUAAUAAGUAAAGCAAGAUGAUAAGGUAGGAAGCAAACAUGUAGAGUUGUUUCUCAUCUCAUGCGAAUUGAUCCAUAAAGUAAUGAUGACUUGGGGAUUUUAAUGAACAGGAUAUUGCUCAAUGAUAUGGAUAGGUGGAAUUUAUUGGGAAGAUUCAACUCUUCUUCCUUCAAGAAAGUGGAGGACAACAUAGCUUUUGGAGAUAUGGGCCGGGGCGAAAGGCUGCCUAUGUAUCUCACGAAGGAGAAAUCAGGCCCUGCGUAGUUCGAACUAUAAUGGCAUUUUCUGAUUCUAAAGUCAACUUUCCUAAAAUGGUAGCGAUUAUUUUGGAAGUUUUGAGAAUAAGUACGGACUUUUUUGAGAAACUUGGGAGACUUGGAGUACUUUUGGUCGAACUUUUGUAUAGCCGGUAUGUUUCUGCCUAGAGAUGUUCUAUGAAAAAUGGGAUUGGAUCAUUUCACCUUUGAUUCGAAUCAACACAACACGUAUAAGCACAUAAACAGUUAUAUUACACAAGCAUAUUGUAAUAAAAGUGCAUCCUAAUUAUGUGACCCAUUUGAGCCAAGGGUUUAGGCCUAAGAAAUUUUGAAGAAAAUAUACGCCUUUUAAAAGAUAAUCCAUUAUCCCCAUAAACCUUCAUAGGUAUACCUAAAUGAUUUAAAUGUCUACAAAAGUUGUACAAAAGAGAUACAAUCUUUAGGGAAAGGGAAUAAUAUACCACGCAGGGGAUACUAAUUACUGAAUGCUUCUUCUAUCGGCGUUCGCGCUUUUAGCUUUGUCCACUCCUCAUUAUUGGAAACAUCCGUUAAUGAUCAAGCGAUUGAUGCAUCCUUAUACAAAAAUGAGUAAAACAAGUCUUCUCCCGACCCCAAAGGAUAAAGGAUUGGAUUAAACAAACAUAUAUUUAUUCAACACAUAAAUAUGAUUUGUCUGUAAUUGNNNNNNNNNNNNNGAAAGCUUUCUAAUGGGUCCAAUACCCCUUUCGAGUAUUAGGUCGUCCUAGGCUCAUGCCUAAAUAGGAUUUUGGUUUCAUUCUAUCCUAGGUGUCUAGAGUGGGUCUGAACACUGGUUCUCAAGACGACAACUUGAGUUUGAAAAUACGAAUUGCCAUUAGACGACUCACGUGCUAAUAAGCCGUUCGUAUUUCAACACAUUUUUGAAAUUGAACAACAGGGGCCGAGACAUCUACGAAACCCAAAACAGUCUAAAUAACGCAAGAAUAUGCCAUGAGAUACGAUAGUUAAACUUUACAUAAUCGAAACAUAUAAACACAUAGGCAGUUAAUUGAAAGACGAAAUCAUUUAGUUAGAACCUAGUUAAAGAUUCACAACUGAGUCGUCAUUUCUGUUUUGCGGAAUUUUUUACUUUUGAAAGUGUCGCCACUUAAUUUUGAAAAGGAAUUAAAAACCUUUAUAAAACACUUUAAACGAUCUAAAACAAAAAAAUCGUUUAAGUUAAGAAAUUCUAAGUAAGCGCUUCCUAUUAACGUUUUAGGAAGGUGUUAGGCACCUAAAACGUCCGCUAAAUUGCAAUUAUCCAAACUAUUUGAAAAUCGUCUUUUGAUUAACUUUGGAAAAUCGAUUUGUUGAAAAAGAAUUGGAUUAAGAAAAAGGAUUUCGCGAAAUCAAUUUUUUAGAGACUUAGUUAGGGAUUUAACUAGGUUCGCAAAGAAACAAGCAAACAAGUAAAUGAAAAGGGAAUAAGCGGGAAAGUAAUGAUUUAGGCUUUUAAGCCCAAACCACCCUGGUCUAAUCUAGUUGGGCUUUCGACCCAUUUGCACCUGUCUUGAUUCUAUGUUUUCGAGCCUUUAGCUCGAGUCUCGCUCCACCUGUAUUAAAUACAACCUUGGCUUCGUGGCCCGAAUAAAUAAAUAAGAAAGUAAAUAAAUAAAUAAAGACGAUAAUAAGUAAAUAAACAAAUAACAAAUGAGCCUUUUUUUUUUUUUUUGGUCUUGUAGCCGCUUCAAAUGUGGAACUUUAACCCAAUCUUCGCCCUUUGAUUGCAUGUAUUUAUAUUGUGCCAUAAGAUUGAUGUAAUCAAUUUUAUGUCCUCUAAAGGGUGGGCCUCCGUGGCCCAUUGCGUAAUGCAAAGAAAAAGAGCUCAAUUGGACUCCCAAGAUAGUUCAUGCAAAAAAAAAAAUAAAAAAAAUUAAUAUCUCUCCGAAACGCCACGUGACAUAAUGCGGGAACAAAUGGCCCAAGGUUUCGAGAGUUAAAAAAAACGAUACAAAGCAACACACAUCUUUUAACAUAAUAUAAACAUUAACUUACGUGACAAGGAAGCAGGUGAAAUUUAACUCUAAUAGAGGGAAUCGUCAAGUUUCAACUAAACCAACAUUAUCGGUAAUGCAAACAUUCCAAUUACAGCAAUGAAGCUACACGGCAAAGAUGGACAAGAUAAAUAAAUCGGGCAACAAAUAAGAGAAAUAUCACUGGAGAAGAAAACAAUAAGUGAAAACAAGAUUCUAAUAACAAAGAUGUACCAAAAUGAUAGAACUAGAUUAGGAAAAUUUCACCUUAUCAAACUUAUUAGCUUGCAACUAUGAUUCAACCAAAUGUAACUUCUCUUUAAUUAAGAAGGGGAAAAUAGGGAGAAGAAAGCAAAACAGUUCAGACAAGCAGAUUACUCAAUCAUAUAAUGAAUUAAAGGAUCAUAGCAUAAUGUAAUCAACUAAUAAUCUUGAAUCACCACAAAGCAACACCAAACUAGAACAUGGGAUUAGAUUUUCAACCGAGACUUGAAACGUGAGGAUACAGAUAAUGGGUCAAAUUUAAUUUUAUCGAUAAAUUAAAUAAACUGCAAUCCAAACUUUUGGAUAGGAACAAAAAUUUGAGGCAAAAGAAACAUUUAAUUAUGAAAAGAAAUAUUUUUGUUCACUUGACAUAAUGUUAAAGAAAGGAAACUUUCAGCUACAGGGGGUAUCACGAUAGGUUUUUACAGCAACUAAGCAACACAAACAUCAACUCAUUCGUAGAAGAACAAUAAAACUAGCAUUGUGACACUGGGAUACAAAGCAAUUAGUCAGAUACUAGCAACUUGGACCCUAAUGUUGAAAUACAAAAUAAUAUGUUGAUGACUUAACAAAAUCCACGUUGCAGUGAGUUUGAAGGCAAAACUGAGCACCAACUAUGAGACGAAAGCACUGAUUUAGUAGCUCAGCGGAUGAAAGGAAAAAAUCGUACAUAGAAUUUUCACCAAAAUCAAAGUUAACACCAAAUGAUGAUUGAGAUCCAACGAUAGAAAGUGUUCACAUAAACAGAGACCUAAAAAACAUAUUCAUGAUAUACAGAUGCCUAAAACAUUAACAGCUAACAAAUAACAUUACCAUGAGACAGUAAGCUUCAAACCAUCGAGUUGAAACAUACGAGAUUGACGAUUAAUCGAAAAGUUACGAUACAAACAGCGAUGCAACAAACAACUCAGCGACAAUCAUCACAAGUAAAUCCUAUAACCAUCAAAGCCAUCUACAGCAAGAAACCCAGCCUCAUUCAUCGACAAACAAAUAACGAUUUCUACGAAGAGAGAGGGAUGAAGAAGAAAACGAUAAGUUAAAAGGGGCGAGGGUAGGUUUACCUCCUUUGUGGCAGCAAAGCGGGACUCGAGCUAUCAGCAAAAUCGUCCCUAGUAGGAGAUUAUGUUGUCGACUUGGGAACUCUCAAUCAAUCGACUAGCUUCCCAGGAAGAAAAAAAAAAUGGAUGAGAAAACUUUUUUCAAAACAAACUCUUUACUUUCGGAGUUCCCAACCCCAAAUUUUGAACUAGCCUGAAGUUUUCUCCUUUAAACUCUUUCGAACCUUCGUCUCUAACCUUUCACCUUAGAGCUUCGACCCUCGAAUUUCCAAAGAAAAGAAAAAAAGAACCCCCAAAAUCUCCAACUUUUGUAGACUGCCAAGGAAUCGAACCCCUAGAAUUUUACCCAAACUUUCAAACCCUUCAAAGAAGAGAAAAAAUCUGAACCCCCCCUCUAAAACUGCGACCUGAUCUCUUCUUAUAUAGAAGAUGGAAACUCAAGGGUAUCUUAGGGAUUUUUCAAAGGGAAUUUGAAAUUCAAAACCCAUGGGAUCCCCCGAAUCGUCCCCGAUUUGGAUUUUUCCACAAAUUUGAAACCCCAUGGACCAAUCAAAUGCGGGAGGACAAAAUGUACCCAAGAACCAAUGAAAAUUUUCCAAAUAUGUACGAAUCCGUACGGGUUAUCCCAAAAUUUGCGGGAUUGGAUCGUUGGGAGGUAACACCUAGCUUGUUCUAGAAGGUUUCUUGGCGUCCUUUCAUACACAUCAGUGUAGAACGCGCGAGAGAGGAAAAAGCAAGUCGUUUGGAAUCAAUUUAGGGUUUAAAAUCGGGUCUAGAAUAGGUUGACAUUUGUUGGUGAUGUACGCCAUUUUUGGCUGCUUCUUGGCAUUGGAGACCCGUUCUUUGUUGAUUAAAGGAGAAAGGGGAAUUUUUGAUGGUG